CAAGGUCUCCGUUGGUGAACCAGCGGAGGGAUCAUUACUGAGUUUACGCUCUAUAACCCUUUGUGAACAUACCUAUAACUGUUGCUUCGGCGGGUAGGGUCUCCGCGACCCUCCCGGCCUCCCGCCUCCGGGCGGGUCGGCGCCCGCCGGAGGAUAACCAAACUCUGAUUUAACGACGUUUCUUCUGAGUGGUACAAGCAAAUAAUCAAAACUUUUAACAACGGAUCUCUUGGUUCUGGCAUCGAUGAAGAACGCAGCGAAAUGCGAUAAGUAAUGUGAAUUGCAGAAUUCAGUGAAUCAUCGAAUCUUUGAACGCACAUUGCGCCCGCCAGCAUUCUGGCGGGCAUGCCUGUUCGAGCGUCAUUUCAACCCUCAAGCUCUGCUUGGUGUUGGGGCCCUACAGCUGAUGUAGGCCCUCAAAGGUAGUGGCGGACCCUCCCGGAGCCUCCUUUGCGUAGUAACUUUACGUCUCGCACUGGGAUCCGGAGGGACUCUUGCCGUAAAACCCCCCAAUUUUCCAAAGGUUGACCUCGGAUCAGGUAGGAAUACCCGCUGAACUUAAGCA
rnacentral:rRNA from 1 species